GAUGAACGCUAGCGGCAGGCUUAAUACAUGCAAGUUGAGGGGCAGCAUGAUAUACGCGAGUAUAUUGAUGGCGACCGGCGGACGGGUGAGUAAUAGGUAGGAGACCUACCUCAUACAGGGGGAUAGCAUAGAGAAAUCUGUGGUAAUACCCCAUGAGGUUAUAUGAAUAGAGGCAUAUAAUCAAAGCAUAAGCGAUUAUGCGGUAUGAGAGGGGCCUACUGACCAUUAGCUAGUUGGUGAGGUAAGGGCUCACCAAGGCGAAGAUGGUUAGGGGUUUUGAGAGAGAGACCCCCCACAUUGGAACUGAGAGACGGUCCAGACUCCUACGGGAGGCAGCAGUAGGGAAUAUUGGGCAAUGGGCGAAAGCCUGACCCAGCCAUGCCGCGUGAAGGAAGACGGCCUUAUGGGUUGUAAACUUCUUUACUACGCGAAUAGAGGUUAGUACGAGAUACUAAUAGGAAGGUAGUGUAGUAAAAGCACCGGCUAACU
rnacentral:rRNA from 1 species